rnacentral:rasiRNA from 1 species
CACGAUGAUCGAUGACGAGCUACGAA